GACGAACACUGGCGGCGUGCUUAACACAUGCAAGUCGAACGGAAAGGCCCCUUUGGGGGUACUCGAGUGGCGAACGGGUGAGUAACACGUGAGUAACCUGCCCUUGACUUCGGGAUAACUUCAGGAAACUGGGGCUAAUACCGGAUAGGAAUCCUUGCUGCAUGGUGGGGGUUGGAAAGCUUCGGCGGUUUUGGAUGGACUCGCGGCUUAUCAGCUUGUUGGUGGGGUAGUGGCUUACCAAGGCUUUGACGGGUAGCCGGCCUGAGAGGGCGACCGGCCACAUUGGGACUGAGAUACGGCCCAGACUCCUACGGGAGGCAGCAGUGGGGAAUAUUGCACAAUGGGCGGAAGCCUGAUGCAGCAACGCCGCGUGCGGGAUGACGGCCUUCGGGUUGUAAACCGCUUUCAGCAGGGGCGAAGCUUGUGGUGACGGUACCUGCAGAAGAAGCACCGGCUAACUACGUG
rnacentral:rRNA from 1 species